CUGCGUGAAGGUGGAGUCGCUAGUAAUCGCGGAUCAGCAACGCCGCGGUGAAUGCGUUCCCGGGCCUUGUACACACCGCCCGUCAAGUCAUGAAAGUGGGCAGCACCCGAAGACGGUGGCCUAACCCUUGUGGGGGGAGCCGUCUAAGGUGAGGCUCGUGAUUGGGACUAAGUCGUAACAAGGUAGC
rnacentral:rRNA from 1 species